CACUGUCAAAAACGAUUUGUUGAAAUAUUUUUCACUAAAAGAUCUCGGAAUAUUAAAAUGUUAUUUAGGAUUGCAAAUCGAAUGUAAUUCCGAGUGUAUUAAAGUAAACCAGCGAAAUUAUAUUCUCUCAAUAUUGGAAAAGUUUAACAUGAAGGAUUGUAAGACUGUGGAUACUCCUUUAGUUAAAAAGAAUAUGGAAAGAAGAACUGAUGGUCAAGUAGGAAGAGUGGAGAACCUUUAAAAGGUUUUUGUGAUGCGGACUGGGCAAAUUGUCCGAUUGACAGAAGGUCGUACACCGGAUACACCUUCAAGUUAAGUGGAGGUCCAGUAUCCUGGGAGUCCAAGAAGCAGCCUACAGUGGCCUUAUCAUCAGCCGAAUCGGAAUACAUGGCACUAGCGUCUGCCACGAAGGAAGCAUGCUACUUACGUCGGUUUAUCUAUGAGAUAACAGGUAAACUGCAUAUAGUUAACUUAGCUUCUGACAGUCAGAGUGCCAUCAACCUCGUUCGAAAUCCUGUACACCACAACAGGACGAAGCAUAUAGACGUCAGGUUUCACUUUAUUAGGGAAAAGGUGUCAAAUAAUGUUGUUAAAUUAGAGUAUAUCAAAAGUAGUGAUAUGCCUGCCGAUGUACUUACGAAGCCACUAGGACCUAUAGUACAUAAACGGUGUAUACUUAACUUAGGAUUAGAAACUUAAGUUUUUCUUUGUUUUUUUUUGUGUUUGUCAGGCACAACUUCGAUUAAGGGCGGCUGUUGUAGUUUGUAACCUCUUCUGUGCUGACAAAUAUUUAGUUUUCUAGUUCUAUUUUCUAUUUUUGAUAUAUUUUUGAUUUGCUUAGUUACCUCUACUUCGAAUAAAACACUCAUGUCAUAAA